rnacentral:misc_RNA from 1 species
GGUUAAUUAAAAUUAUGGUGUAAUUUUAUUUAUAUAAUACAUAGAGAGAAAACAACUCUAAUUAGGGAUUUCAUACAUAAUAGUUGAAGUCUGAAGACAAUUACAACACAUUAUACUUGAAGAUCCCAUACUUAACACCACAAGAACAGAAACACAACAAGGCAAUUAUCCAAACAAAGAACAUAAAACCCCAAUCACAAAACACAAAACAAACAUGGAAAGGGAGGGGGGAGUCCUUAACAUUGAUCAAGACAUCCAUAAUCUUAAAGUUGGAGGACCUUCUUCCAGGAUGGCCUGCCGCUAAUCUGAUCCCACCAAGCACUCACAUGCUUUCUACUCCUAAUCAUAUACUCCUUAUUUAUUGGACCCACCAAGUACUGGGUGAAGGGUAAGUGGCUAAGGUCAGCCAAGCUAAAGAAAUCUCCAGCCAAGUACUUGCUCUUUGAAAGCCUCUCCUCAUAAACAUCCAAAACCUUUCCCAGCUUUUCUUCACUCUCUUUGAUCACCUUCUCAUCAGGAGGAAAACCCAAAGCUGAGGCAAAUAAGAUGUGAAGGGUCAAGUUGUAAAUAUGAGGGUGGAAGUUUUGGGCCUCCACCUCUAGCCAUUGCUCCACUAAUCCCCUCUCUUCAAUGCUCUUUCCAAGCAAAUCAGUGCCUUGUGACUUGUACUUUUCAGCAUAAUACCUUAUGAUUGCUCUUGAUUCUAUCCAUCCAAUCAAAUACUAAUCAAGAUCAGAUCAAAUCAAGGAAAAGACUUACUUAAAAAUUGAUUUGACAGAGGAUUAUCGAUCAUUAAUUGAUUAAUUAAUUACCGUAUAAAGUAUAAUCUCCAUCUUGAAUUACAGGAAGUGCUCCGAAAGGCUUGAAUUUUGACGAGAAACAGAAGCAAAUUCAGAGCAAAUCAAUUUAAAUAUAAACACACAAACAUAUAUAGAUAUAAAUAUAGAAAGAAAGAAAGAAAAUCAGGAACCUGUAACUUGAGAUACUCAGGGCUUCGAUGCUCUCCUUUGAUGAGAUCCACAGGAACAGCCUCAAAUUCAAUACCCUUCUCAAUAAGGCAAGCGAGAACUCGCUUCGGAGAAGCAUAAGCAGUUCCGUACACCUUCACCACCAUUUCUUUUAGGAUUUUGAUCUGAGAUUUCAGGCAAGAAUAAGUGGCUGAGUGACGCCUCCCAUUUGUGGAUUAAUAAAGAGCUGAAGCUUAAAGAUGGCGUUGGUUGGUCAGGUUUUUU